rnacentral:rRNA from 1 species
GACGAACGCUGGCGGCGUGCCUAAUACAUGCAAGUCGAACGAGUGGCGGACGGGUGAGUAACACGUGGGAACCUACCCAUCAGAGGGGGAUAACUACUGGAAACGGUAGCUAAUACCGCAUACCAUCAGAUGUGCCCAGAUGGGAUUAGCUUGUUGGUGGGGUAACGGCUCACCAAGGCGACGAUCCCUACCUGGUCUGAGAGGAUGACCAGCCACACUGGAACUGGGACAGGGUCCAGACUCCUACGGGAGGCAGCAGUGGGGAAGAGGGCACAAUGGGCGCAAGCCUGAUGCAGCCAUGCCGCGUGUAUGAAGAAGGCCUUCGGGGUGUAAAGUACUUUCAGCGGGGAGGCGUUACCCGCAGAAGAAGCACCGGCUAACUCCGUGCCAGCAGCCGCGGUAAUAC